rnacentral:rRNA from 1 species
GACGAACGCUGGCGGCGUGCUUAACACAUGCAAGUCGAACGGAAAGGCCCUGCUUUUGUGGGGUGCUCGAGUGGCGAACGGGUGAGUAACACGUGAGUAACCUGCCCUUGACUUUGGGAGAACUUCAGGAAACUGGGGCUAAUACCGGAUAGGAGCUCCUGCUGCAUGGUGGGGGUUGGAAAGUUUCGGCGGUUGGGGAUGGACUCGCGGCUUAUCAGCUUGUUGGUGGGGUAGUGGCUUACCAAGGCUUUGACGGGUAGCCGGCCUGAGAGGGUGACCGGCCACAUGGGGACUGAGAUACGGCCCAGACUCCUACGGGAGGCAGCAGUGGGGAAUAUUGCACAAUGGGCGGAAGCCUGAUGCAGCAACGCCGCGUGCGGGAUGACGGCCUUCGGGUUGUAAACCGCUUUCGCCUGUGACGAAGCGUGAGUGACGGUAAUGGGUAAAGAAGCACCGGCUAACUACGUG